ACCGUUAUAACCGGCGAUACCCGAAUGGGGAAACCCAGUGUGACUCGUCACACUAUCAUUAACUGAAUCCAUAGGUUAAUGAGGCGAACCGGGGGAACUGAAACAUCUAAGUACCCCGAGGAAAAGAAAUCAACCGAGAUUCCCCCAGUAGCGGCGAGCGAACGGGGAGGAGCCCAGAGCCUGAAUCAGCAUGUGUGUUAGUGGAAGCGUCUGGAAAGGCGCGCGAUACAGGGUGACAGCCCCGUACACAAAAGCGCAUGUGCUGUGAGCUCGAUGAGUAGGGCGGGACACGUGGUAUCCUGUCUGAAUAUGGGGGGACCAUCCUCCAAGGCUAAAUACUCCUGACUGACCGAUAGUGAACCAGUACCGUGAGGGAAAGGCGAAAAGAACCCCGGCGAGGGGAGUGAAAAAGAACCUGAAACCGUGUACGUACAAGCAGUGGGAGCACAGGUUUACCUGUGUGACUGCGUACCUUUUGUAUAAUGGGUCAGCGACUUAUAUUCUGUAGCAAGGUUAACCGAAUAGGGGAGCCGGAGGGAAACCGAGUCUUAAUUGGGCGUUAAGUUGCAGGGUAUAGACCCGAAACCCGGUGAUCUAGCCAUGGGCAGGUUGAAGGUUGGGUAACACUAACUGGAGGACCGAACCGACUAAUGUUGAAAAAUUAGCGGAUGACCUGUGGCUGGGGGUGAAAGGCCAAUCAAACCGGGAGAUAGCUGGUUCUCCCCGAAAGCUAUUUAGGUAGCGCCUCGUGAAUUCAUCUCCGGGGGUAGAGCACUGUUUCGGCUAGGGGGCCAUCCCGGCUUACCAACCCGAUGCAAACUGCGAAUACCGGAGAAUGUUAUCACGGGAGACACACGGCGGGUGCUAACGUCCGUCGUGAAGAGGGAAACAACCCAGACCGCCAGCUAAGGUCCCAAAGUCAUGGUUAAGUGGGAAACGAUGUGGGAAGGCCCAGACAGCCAGGAUGUUGGCUUAGAAGCAGCCAUCAUUUAAAGAAAGCGUAAUAGCUCACUGGUCGAGUCGGCCUGCGCGGAAGAUGUAACGGGGCUAAACCAUG
rnacentral:rRNA from 1 species